rnacentral:lncRNA from 1 species
UUGCUCAUGUGUAAGCCUGACUUUUAAUUUUUUAACAAUAAAAACAUGUAGCGAUGUGAUUAUCACAUCACAACUCCAUUUUUUUGCCACAUGAUUUUCACGUUACUAUAUCACGUGUCUGAAGAGAAGUUUUUUUUUAUAGUGAAUGAUGAUGCAAAUAUAGCAUAAAUUUAUUACCAAAUUAAACUAACAUCUGGAAUUAGAUUGUUAUAGAAUUGAAGAGUAAAUUGAUUUUGUAUUUUUUUAAUCGAUGGAGAAAU